AACAAACCUAAGUUGGAAUUUAAGAAUUUCCAUAAUAUAAAGAGGAAGAGGCUUCUUUUCGAUAUAAUGGCGCCAUUAACAUCUAUUAAUAAUGCAGACAGGGUAAGUAGCUGGAGUUGGAGCUCCCUGGGGGCCUCGUAAAACAGAUGUGCACUAUAUCUUCCCGGAUUUGAUAGCGGCUGGGGUCGAGGGGGUCGCUGUGGUUCCCGUUUAUUUCCUCUGGCAGCGGUUUUCUAAUUUAAGCACCUCUGUCUCCUGGCUACAGUUGCCUGCUGUGCCGGGGAGGGGGUGUUGGCGCAUUGUCAUGCCUGCUGCCGGGAAAGGGGGCACGGCCACAGCGCCCCUGCCUCGCUCGCUGCUGCUGCCUCUCGGCUCCUCUCGCUCUCGCCAGCAUCUCCUCAGGUCCCUUUGCUGCUCAAGGUGCCGCAGCCAGGCUCUUCUGUUGAUAUUCUUUUUAUUAUUAUUAUUAUUUCUCCAAAAUGAAAUUAAGAUGAGUGGGAGUGUUGAAGUACCUCUUCUGACUCUGGAGCGGCAGCGUGCAGGUUUCCAGGCAAACCUCAUCCCCAGGGAUGGAUGAACUACGGCGUGGGAAUGUAGACAGGGACUGCAGCGUGCUACCAGGUGGUCCUGGUUGUGUGGCUGAGCAAGCAGCUGGGGCACCUAUUGAGUGAGGGAGGUGCCUCUGUCCCUGGCAUUUCCAUCCAUCUGCAUCGCUCUGUCCGUGAGCCUUUGCCACCUCUGAAGUGAAGCAGCAGAAGCCAAUCCUCCAUGAGGCCCACAGCAGAGGGGCUGGAAGGGCGCAGGGUGUGCUGAGAGAGCUGUUCAUGUUGAGUCACUGCUGAAAGUCCACUGUGGCUGGUAAAGUGACGCAUCAUUUUCUGCUUGAACACUGGAGAGGUUUUUCUCAACGCUCCUUGCUCUGUUGGUGCUGAGCUUUGAACUGGUUUAAAUUCAUAAAACAUCAAGGAAUAUGCAGAUUUUUGUAUCAAAAGUCGGAUCCAAGAGGCUAUUAAAUACUAUAAGUACUCUAUAAUUGGCUCGAUUAGUCUAAUAUUAACUCUAAGUGACACUUAAGUGACAUCAACUGUGACAACAGAAGUGACAUUUUUGAAUUGCCUUAUUUUUAGGGAGAAUGUUGAUCAUGGCUUUUUCAAUUGUCACUGUGGCAUAAUGCUCAUAGACCAACAUAUUUCUGGCAAGCGUGAC
rnacentral:lncRNA from 1 species